GCCGCGGUAAUACGGAGGGUGCAAGCGUUAAUCGGAAUUACUGGGCGUAAAGCGCACGCAGGCGGUCUGUCAAGUCGGAUGUGAAAUCCCCGGGCUCAACCUGGGAACUGCAUUCGAAACUGGCAGGCUUGAGUCUUGUAGAGGGGGGUAGAAUUCCAGGUGUAGCGGUGAAAUGCGUAGAGAUCUGGAGGAAUACCGGUGGCGAAGGCGGCCCCCUGGACAAAGACUGACGCUCAGGUGCGAAAGCGUGGGGAGCAAACAGGAUUAGAUACCCUGGUAGUCCACGCCGUAAACGAUGUCUACUUGGAGGUUGUGCCCUUGAGGCGUGGCUUCCGGAGCUAACGCGUUAAGUAGACCGCCUGGGGAGUACGGCCGCAAGGUUAAAACUCAAAUGAAUUGACGGGGGCCCGCACAAGCGGUGGAGCAUGUGGUUUAAUUCGAUGCAACGCGAAGAACCUUAC
rnacentral:rRNA from 2 species